CGAGGGGGGGGGCAGAUAAUCAAACAAACAAACAAAGAAGAAACAAAGAAGAAGAAAAAGAAAAAGAGAAGAAAAAAUCGAAGCCGAAACAAACACAAACACACACAACACUACACGUUUUCCCUGUUCUCUUGUGUGUGUGUGUUUCCUCUCUC
rnacentral:ribozyme from 1 species